rnacentral:rRNA from 1 species
UACGUAGGGUCCGAGCGUUGUCCGGAAUUAUUGGGCGUAAAGGGCUCGUAGGCGGUCCGUCGCGUCGGGAGUGAAAACUCGGAGCUUAACUCCGAGCCUGCUUCCGAUACGGGCAGACUAGAGGUAGGCAGGGGAGAGCGGAACUCCUGGUGUAGCGGUGGAAUGCGCAGAUAUCAGGAAGAACACCGGUGGCGAAAGCAGCUCUCUGGGACGGUACUGACGCUGAGACGCGAAAGCGUGGGGAGCGAACAGG